ACGCGGUAACAAUGAGUGCUUAGUGUUUGGGCGUUUCCGCCCCUUAGUGCUGCAGCUAACGCAUUAAGCACUCCGCCUGGGGAGUACGGUCGCAAGACUGAAACUCAAAGGAAUUGACGGGGGCCCGCACAAGCGGUGGAGCAUGUGGUUUAAUUCGAAGCAACGCGAAGAACCUUACUGGUCUUGACAUCCUCUGACAAUCCUAAAGAUAGGACGUCCCCUUCGGGGGCGCGAGACAGGUGGUGCAUGGGUGUCGUCAGCUCGUGUCGUGAGAUGUUGGGUUAAGUCCCGCAACGAAGCGCAACCCUUGAUCUUAGUUGCCAGCAUUCAGUUGGGCACUCUAAGGUGACUGCCGGUGACAAACCUGGAGGAAGGGUGGGGAUGACGUCAAAUCAUCAUGCCCCUUAUGACCUGGGCUACACACGUGCUACAAUGGACAGAACAAAGGGCCAGCGAAACCGCGAGGUUAAGCCAAUCCCACAAAUCUGUUCUCAGUUCGGAUCUGAAGUCUGCAACUCGACUGCGUGAAGCUGGAAUCGCUAGUAAUCGCGGAUCAGAAUGCCGCGGUGAAUACGUUCCCGGGCCUUGUACACACCGCCCGUCACACCACGAGAGUUUGUAACACCCGAAGUCGGUGAGUUAACCUUUAGGAAGGCACCCACCAAAGGGGGAACAAAUGAUGGGGGGUGAAUUCUAAAAAGGGGACAAAAAA
rnacentral:rRNA from 1 species